CCUCAGAAGCAGGAGUCCCUGAGAAGCAGAGAGACAGGUACCAGGGCAGGAAACCUCCAGACCCAAGAAGAAUCAGAGAGGAACCUGAGCUCAGAUCUGCGGAUGGGGGGACCGAGGACAGGCAGACAGGCUCCCCCUCGACCAGCACAGAGGCUCCAAGGGACACAGACUUGGAGACCAACGGACGCCUUCGGGCAACGGCUCGAACACACAUGUCAGCUCAAAAUAUACCUGGACUGACUCACAGGAGGCCAGGGAGGCCACAUCAUCCACUCAGGGGACAGACUGCCAGCCCCAGGCAGACCCCCGUCAACCAUCAGACGGGCAGGCAAGGAGAGUGAGGGUCAGAUGUCUGUGUGGGAAACCAAGAACCAGGGGGUCUCAGGACAGCGCUGGCAGGGGUCCAGGCUCAGGCUUUCUCAGGAAGAUGGGGAGGUGCCUGAGAAAACCCCACCCACCUUCCCUGGCACAGGCCCUCUGGCUCACAGUGAUGCCUGGACUCGGGGUCCUGCUGGGCUCUCAAAGGAUCCUGUGUCCCCCUGUGACACAGACUCAGGGGCUCCCAUGACGGGCACCAGACCUCUGAUUGAGUGAUCUUCUUCCCCUCGCCCACUUUGCAGGUCAGCCCAAGUCCCCACCCUCGGUCACCCUGUUCCCGCCCUCCACGGAGGAGCUCAACGGCAACAAGGCCACCCUGGUGUGUCUCAUCAGCGACUUCUACCCGGGUAGCGUGACCGUGGUCUGGAAGGCAGACGGCAGCACCAUCACCCGCAACGUGGAGACCACCCGGGCCUCCAAACAGAGCAACAGCAAGUACGCGGCCAGCAGCUACCUGAGCCUGACGAGCAGCGACUGGAAAUCGAAAGGCAGUUACAGCUGCGAGGUCACGCACGAGGGGAGCACCGUGACGAAGACAGUGAAGACCUCAGCGUGUUCUUAGGGGCCCUGGACCCCACCCUCGGGGGCCCUCUGGCCCACACCCCCUCCCCCACCUCUCCAUGGACCCCUGAGCCCCUGCCCAGGUCGCCUCACACCAGGGGCCUCUCCUCCCUCCCUGUUCCUGUUUCUCCUGAAUAAAGACCUUCUCAUUUAUCAGCCGA
ensembl:lncRNA